rnacentral:rRNA from 1 species
CGAAUGGGUGCGUAACACGUGGGAAUUUACCCGGAAGUGGGGGAUAGCUCGUCGAAAGGCGAAUUAAUACCGCAUGUGCCCGUGAGGGCAAAGUGGGGGACCGCAAGGCCUCACGCUACCGGAGGAGCCCGCGUCCUAUCAGCUAGUUGGCGGGGUAACGGCCCACCAAGGCGAAGACGGGUAGCUGGUCUGAGAGGACGACCAGCCGCACUGGAACUGAGACACGGUCCGGACACCUACGGGUGGCAGCAGUCGAGGAUUUUUCUCAAUGGGGGCAACCCUGAAGGAGCGACGCCGCGUGGAGGAUGAAGGGCUUCGGCUUGUAAACUCCUGUCACCGACGAACAAGGCAUCCGGUUGAACAUUCCGGGUGAUUGAUGGUAGUCGGAGAGGAAGGGGCGGCUAACUCUGUGCCAGCAGCCGCGGUGAUACAGAGGCCCCGAGCGUUGUUCGGAUUUACUGGGCGUAAAGGGUGUGUAGGGGGUCGGGUAAGUUUGACGUGAAAGCCCGCUGCUUAACAGCGGAACGGCGUCGAAUACUGCCCGGCUAGAGGUUCGGAGAUGAGAGCGGAAUUCUCGGUGUAGCGGUGAAAUGCGUAGAUAUCGAGAGGAACGCCGACGGCGAAAGCAGCUCUCAAGACGACACCUGACCCUGAGACACGAAGGCCAGGGGAGCAAACGGGAUUAGAUACCCCGGUAGUCCUGGCAGUAAACGGUGCUCAUUAGACGUGGGCGGAUUCGACCCCGCCCGUGUCGAACCUAACGGAUUAAAUGAGCCGCCUGGGAAGUGCGGUCGCAAGAUUAAAACUCAAAGAAAUUGACGGGGGCCCGCACAAGCGGUGGAGUAUGUGGCUUAAUUCGAUGCAACGCGAAGAACCUUACCUGGCCUUGACAUGCUGAGUUCAGGCGUGGAAACACGCUGGCCCGCAAGGGCGAUCUGCACAGGUGCUGCAUGGCUGUCGUCAGCUCGUGUCGUGAGAUGUUGGGUUAAGUCCCGCAACGAGCGCAACCCUCGUGACUAGUUAAUCCCGGGCAACCGGAUUCUGGUCAGACUGCCCUGUG